AUGAGUGAGUUAUGUGUGUUGAGAGCAGAGUGGGAAGGUGGGAGAUCUAAAGAACUGUUACACUGGCACAGAUGCUUUUGUUUCAUGGGGUGGGGAAUUGGAAGUGAAAAGAACUCUGAAAGACUCACAGGCCAGGCUUUAGACAGUCGUACUCUCCCCAUGCCUGAGACACAGAAGAGACCAACAGACUCGGCUAGGCUGGUGAUCUGCAACUCCAAGCUUUAUUGUCCUGUUCUGAGGACUGCUUUUUUUCUUGUCUUUACUAGGAAUCAAAACAAGCAAAUAGUCAAAGCCCAGGCUGGGGUGGGGGGGGGCAGGUUGUAAAGAGUCUAACAAGAUACAGUGUGUGCUGACUCCAAAUAUAAUCCCAUGGGAUUGUGGAAUAGGGCAAUCCUAAUGUCUCAAAUAGCCAGAGUGAGAUGAGCUGAUGGUCUAAAAACACCAGAGGAACUUGAUCAAGACCUCAAAAAUUCCAAAGUAAAUUUAUAACACAUCAAUCAGAGCUUCAGAACGAGGGCUUCCCUGGUGGCUCAGAUGGUAAAGAAUCUGCCUGCAAUGCAGGAGACCCGGGUUCAAUUCCUGGGUCGGGAAGAUCCCCUGGAGAAGGGAAUGGCAACUUACUCCAGUAUUCUCAUCUGGAGAAUUCCGUGGACAGAGGAGCCUGGUGGGCUACAGUCCAUGGGAUCGCAGAGACGGACCCGACUGAGCGACUAACACUUAGAACUGCAGGAGAAACCUGUCUUGAGAAAAGCAAAUCAGCUAUUUCUCAGUGUAAAUAACACUGUUCUGAGCAGCUAGACCAGAGGUCCAAAAAAUGUCAGACCUGGGGCCAAGUCUCUCCACCUGCUUUUGUAAAUAAGAGUGUAUUGGAACAUGGCCAUGCCAUAUUUUUGCAUGUUUCUUCUGCCUACUCUCACAACCCCAGAGGCAGGAACAGCUGAAACACUGAUGGCCCCAAAAUCUACAAUAUUUAUUUUCUUGCCCUUGAGAGAAAAAAUUGGUCAACCUCUGAGCUAGAGAGCCAAUCCAAAUUUCCCAAAGAGUAAAAUCUCAGCAGAGUCUGUAAUGAUUCCAGGGUCAGAAAAGAUAGAAGACAUACUUCUAUCAACAUACUUUCCAAUCAACAACACCACACUAAUAUUUAUGGGGUGUGUGCUUAGUUGUGCCCAACUCUUUGCAACCCCAUCGACUGUAGCCCACCAGGCUCCUCUUUCCAUGGGGAUUCUCCAGGCAAGAGUAAUGGAGUGGGUUGCCGUGUCCUCCUCCAAGACAUCUUACCAACCCAGGGAUGGAACCCAGGUCUCCUGCAUUGCAGGCUGAUUCUUUACUGUCUGAGCCAUCAGGAAAGCCCACAUUUAUGGGGUACCUACUAUUAUAUGCAAAUCACUUCAUGAGGCCUGAGAACAGGGAAGAAUCUGAUCUUUCCCCAAAGAAUUAUGGAACUCUAAACCAAAUGCUGUGUCAGAGUAUAGUUAAAAGCUUAAUUAGUUCUUCAAUGUGUGUGUGUGUGUUUUAUUACAUGCUUGUAAAAACUGCAAACGAUAUGGAAGCAUGUAAGUAAAAAAUGAAAUGAACAAUUACCUACACAUUCUCACUCUUCCAAAAUAACUAGUGGAAUUACAUGAUUUCUUCCAGACUGCCUUGUCCUUUUCACAUUCAAAUCUAACAUCUCUCUUUUUCUCUUCCCUCACUCUUUUUCUCUCUACCCCAACACACAACACAAAAAUGAAACCAUACCAUAUAGUUCUCAAUUUCCUUUUUUAAAGCUCAGCAAUGUAUCCUGGUUUUCCUUCCAAAACGAGAAUAUAGUGAGUGGUUGACCCUAAACCCCUAAGCCCCCAAAUAGAUUACUGCUGAUAUUAUAGAUUGAGAAUGUAGGCUCUGGAUCCAUACUUCUUGGGUUUGAAUCUCAGUCCCACCAUUUACCAUGUCUGUGACCUUGGAGAAGUCACUAGCCUCUCCAUGCCCCAGUUUCCUCCCCUAUAAAUGGAGAAAAGUACGGCUCCAACUUCAAAUGGUUAUUGUGAGAAAUAAAAGAGUUCAUAUUUGUAAAGGACUCAGAACAGAGUCUGACACAAAAUAAACUUAAUAUGUGUUUGAUAGUAUUAUCAUUAUUAUUGUUCCCAAUAUGAAAACUAGCUGUCUGGUAAAUGCUUCUCUUUAACAGCUAAAGGCUGACUCUGAG
ensembl:lincRNA